GUCGUCGUCAUAGUCCUCCUCCGCCCCUCGCUCCUCGUCACUCGGGUGGCUCACCGUGUCCCCUGCAGCUGGGGCAGGACUCUCUCUCUCAUCUCUCAGUGUGACGGGAGGGUGCGUGGGUGCGGGAUUGCGACAGGCAGCCGCAGGAAAGUUGUUUCUUAAAACUUCGCAGGCUGUCUGCGUGAAAUGGAUGACGUGCAUUCUGGGCAAUUAGCUUCCAAGAAGCGAUGGCAGCACGUAUCCGAACUCCCUCCCUCACCGGGGAGAUGUCCACUCCGAGGCCCCGUUGAAGGAGAAUCUCCGGACGGUGGCUCCUCAACCGACAGGCGACCCAGCUGGCAGCUCAGAGGGGGCGGCUGCGAUGCGAGCGCCCAGCGCCACAAGGACGAGCCAAGACGCAAUUCCGCAGCGUUACCAGUUCCGAGGCGGACCACGGCUGACUUGACGCACGCGAGAGGACUGAUGGGGCCAGCACCCAGGCUGCACCAUUUGGCGGCCAGCAGUAGAAGGUUGGAGAACGAGAGCGACCGUCUGCCGUCGUUAGGAAGUCCCGGCAAACGCUUUGAAAUACCCGACCGGCGUUAUUUUAGCCUCGACAGAACUAAGAACCGCUUGAAAGGGCACGACCUCCUCCCGUCGAAAACCCCGGUGGAGCGGGACACGACGAGCCUGCUGGCUCUCAGGAAGCUCUCAAUUCACGACGACGAGGGCCAGAGAUCUCUCAGCCACGAACGCCGCUCGGCCAACGACAGAGUGGAGCGAGCCGACGCAAGGGGACGCGGCAGAGAAUCUCCAAAUGGUUAUUUACCCGCCGACAGGAACACGGCGUCUCCUGUCCAGUGGAGAAAGAAUCAUCACAGCGGCAGCCCCGUGUUGGAAUCCUGGAGCUCCGCGCCGCGGGUCGGAAAGGGCGAUAGGGGCCACCCCUCGGCCCUGCUUGCGGGGGGGAACAGCGAUGACAGGCAGCCCAUGGGCAGCCCCAUUAGCAGCGGGCUGCACGUGGACAAGUCUGCGUGGGGAAGAGAGAGCCUGGACGUCCACCAGCACAGCGGCUGGGAAGCAGAAGUGGAACGCCUUUGGGAAGGAUUUGAUAUCCCAGUGCUGCCACGUGGCCAACACCUUCUCAUCAACAUUUGCAGCACCUGGGGAGACCGCCACUACGUCGGCCUAAAUGGCAUCGAGGUCUUCGCGGACACGGGCGAGCCGGUGCCGAUCGCCGAGGUGCUGGCCAACCCGGCCGACAUCAACGUCCUGCCCGAGUACGGGCGGGACCCGCGUGUCGCCGCCAACCUGGUGGACGGCGUCUACCGCACGCAGGACGACGGCCACCUGUGGCUGGCGCCGUUCACGCCGGGCGCCGCCCACCUGGUACACCUCGCCUUUGCAGAGCCGUGCCGCGUCGCCAUGAUCCGCGUGUGGAACUACAACAAGUCGCGCAUCCACGCGUGUCGCGGGGCACGACACCUCGACAUCUCCCUGGACGGUGUCCUCGUCUUCAGCGGGGAGAUCGCCAAGGCUUCCGGCACGCUCCGCGGGGGCGUGGAGCAGUUCGGAGACACAAUUCUCUUCACCACCGACGACUCAAUCCUCGAGGCCAUGGCUCGGCACGACCAGACGUUUCAGGAGGAGUGGAAGGAGGAAGAGAGCAGAGAGGACCUCCCAAACCGGCCGCGAACGAGCGACAGGGACGCUGACGAGAGGCCAAUCACCUGCGCCGCCUUGCCCAGCUGUGAGCAGCAGAAGAGUUUGGAUUUUGCUGAAGAAACGGAGGGAGAAGUUGGAAAGUAUACGGGGACACGCCUGCAGCUGAACGUGACCCACACGUGGGGAGAUGAGCUGCAGUUUGGGCUCACGGGGCUGGAGGUGGUGGGCUCCAGCGGCGACGCGCUGCCUGUCUCGGCGGGAAUGCUCAGCGCGCCCUCGGCCUCCGCGCCUGGCAGCCCGGCUACCGCCGCGGAGGCCCGGCACGAAUCGCCCUCCUCCGGCCUCGACAGGCUCUUGGACGGCGAGAAUGUGACCACGUGCGCAGAGCACAUGUGGUGCCUGCCUUUCACGCCGGGAAGGAGUCACCUGCUGGUCAUCACCCUCGCACGGGCGCACACCAUCACCGGGCUCAGGUUCUGGAAUUACAACCGCUCGCCCGAGGAUACGAGCAAAGGGGUCCGCACAGUCCACGUGGCGCUGGACGGGCGCGUGGUGUCUCCACCAGAGGGCAUUCUCCUGAGAAAGGGGCCAGGAAAUUGCCACUUUGACUUUGCUCAGGAGAUUAUAUUCCGAGAGUUUGCUCCAGGGAGCGCACAGGCCAGAGCACAGCAGACUUCCUGCAGGCAAAUUCACAAGACAAUCGAGCAGCCGAGCAUGGCCUACGAGGCGCCCGCGAUGCCUUGCGGAUUUAUCUUCCAGCUUCAGCUGUUGACGAGCUGGGGCGACCCGUACUACAUCGGGCUCAACGGCCUGGAGAUUUACGACGCCGAGGGAGAGCUCAUUCCCCUCACGGAGAACCACAUGACGGCUUUCCCAGACAGCGUCAACGUGCUGGAGGGUGUGUGCGGCGACGUGCGCACUCCGGACAAGCUGAUCGAUGGCGUCAACGAUACCCACAACGGUCGGCACAUGUGGCUGGCUCCCAUCCUGCCCGGAGUGGUGAAUCGGGUCUACAUCAUUUUCGACCACCCGACAUCCGUGUCCAUGCUAAAACUGUGGAACUACAGCAAGACGCCGACGAGGGGUGUCAAGGAGUUUGGGGUCCUCGUCGACGACCUGCUGGUGUACAACGGGACUUUGGAGCAAGCCUCCGGGGCGUCACGGAGGGGGUCGCCUUACAGGGGGUCACCUCGUCCGUCGCGCUCGCCCGUGCCAUGUCACACCGUCCUCUUCACCGACGAGCCGACCCCGGUGACGAGGGAGCGCCGCGCGGUGCCCGAGCCACAGGCUUCAAAUAAGAUGCACAUGAUAUAUGCAGAAGAAGAAGAUGAUGAUGACAUUCAGCUGUUCGACAGUGGCCGAGAAUUGCGACAGAGAGUAAAGCCUGUUGACCAAGCUCUUCGCCCCAUGACCUGCAUAGCAGUUCGAGGUCAAAGUGGAAAAAAGUAAAAGUCGCACUUAAAAGCCUGAGCGAUGGCUCAUGGAAAAGGAAAAUUGUUUGCGUUUCUUGCCCAGCACGUCACCGUUGAUCCAGCACUGGCUGAGGGUCACCCGAGUGGGAGCAGUGAGCACCCAGAGUCCAGUGGGUACCGUCACCAACCCGCACUGACCACGCCGGCGAGGUAUGGUCGCGUACCUCUCCCCCACUCGUGCAGCAGCAACAACAACAACAACAAACACACGGAGAUUAAUUCGCACGCAACUGGGAUUUUAUCAAGCAAUCGUGGCUAGGUGUACGUUUAACUUCUUUCACAUCGUACGUGGCCAACCGUGCUAAUCGGAGGUGCGUGGGAAGGACAACAAACUAAACACACAAAAAAAGCAGAGAUAGGUGUAAGAUUAAGUGAUGUCAAGGAUCGCUGGGUAAGGGGAGGAGGGUUGCCUCCUCCGCUUGACGAUUGGCACGCGCGAUGCGUGGUGGACCACCUCGCGUUGUGAUCGUCGAACUGGGGGACAAUAACUGGGAGAAGUAAAUUGCGUGUCCGUGUGGAAUCGGUGAGGGGAGGAGGAAAAGGCGGAGAACGCCAAACUUCUGCAUAGUGGCACCUGGGGGGGGGGGGGUUCAUCAAUGGGUCUUUCCCCCUUUUCAAAGAAGCUCUCCAGCAACGUUUGUUUUUUUUUACUAAUUU